rnacentral:lncRNA from 1 species
AUUGGUAUCCUGCAACUUCUCUUCCCCUUCCGUCGACAAUUCCUUCCUUCCGUAUAGUUGAGGUUGUUGAUUCCAGCUACGGAGUCCAACUGAAUUCUUCUCUUCCAUUUCUUAUUGCGAAAAAGGGAUCCUUUUCACUCCUGUUUCUGGAUCACAAUUCAUCUCAAUUAUUAACACAAGGUUCUCCGUUGGAUUUCCCUAGUGGGUGCUUUCCUGAAAUCUUCUUCUGCGGUUGGGCUUGGGCACCGUUUUUUCUUGCUUUGUCCCUCUAUAAAGGAAAUGAUAUUCUUUUCUAACUUUUCCGUUCCAUGCUAGUAGUUGAAUACUCAUUGCUUCGUAAAGGAUUGCUGAGGCCUUUUCAACUCCUGUAAUCAACACCAGGGGAAAGAAAAAAAAGGUGAUUCAGAUGCAACCUAAGAGGUGCCACAAACGCAAAUGCGGUAUUAGAUUCGCUGAGUAGAUAUGUUUAUCUCAACUCAACCCAAUUCUGUGGUCUUCUUACCGUCCUUUUUCUUGCAAAAAGUUAUAGCCAAUCAUCUUAAUUGUCUCAGUGGAUUAGGUUAGGUUGUCAAUAUAUUCUAUGCCCACUUGGGAGGCAUAUUGAUA